AGAAAAGCUAAUUACAACAUUAUUGCUACAAAAUGUAAUAUGUAAAGAAAGAAAUAUAUUUGAUCAUAAAAACCAUACAUGAAAGGAGCUUACAUUGUGUUGUUUCUACUGGUUUUUAUUGAUUUGGUCAGAAUGGAGCGAUACAAGCAAAUGAAGGAAAGAUCGACGAAAUCAUUAUUGGACAAGACGUACAAAGAGAAUGUUAAUCGUGUAAUUUGUCCGGAUGGUACAAAAUGAUGUCCAGUUCAUAGUUUUGAGUUCGAUUUUGAAAAUUACCGUUGUUGUCCUUGGUUGAAUGGAAUUUGUUGUUUUAACGGGAGUUGUUGUCGUUCUGGUUCUGAAUGUUUUGGGUUUGGCAAAUCGUGUUCUGUCCAAUGGAAUUCAACACAUGUAUGAAUAAAAUAAUGUAUAAUCUUUUCCAUGAUUACGAAUUUCUAUAUCUUGUCUGGUUGGAAUGGAUAUUUUUUCAUUUAUUUAGAUUUUCAUAUACAACACAAAAAGUUAGGCAAUAUAUAUCUUGAAAUAUAUUAUUUAUUUUAUGAAAUUUAUUGAGUAAUUAAUAUACCUCUUUAAAUGAUAUCUUUUACGUAGAUCUUUUAUGGUAUCGUAGUUGAUUUUUACCUUUCUUUAUGACACUGAGCUGUAUAUAUACUGGGAGUGCGCGUAUUUAAAUUUCAUGGCAAGAAAUAUA